UGUUAUAUAUUCAUCAUGAAACAUAAAGGAAAAUCUGAUUAAGUUUGACUUUUUGAAAUUCUUAAAUGCAAACUGUUUAUUUGUUGUUCCAGAUGAGCUCUCAUGAUGGCCAUUAGUAAUAGGCUUAAUCCAACAAGCCUAGUCCAACUUAUUCUUCAAUGUGAUGUUGACCUCUCUUGAGAAGAUGAUUUUGGAUGGACAAUUAGAGACUACGCUCAUGUCAGUGGUGUUAGAGGUCAUCAAGAAUCAUUUCUUCA
rnacentral:lncRNA from 1 species